rnacentral:rRNA from 1 species
UACAUGUGGGGCAAGCGUUGUUCGGAAUUACUGGGCAUAAAGGGUGCGUAGGCGGCAUGUUAAGUCAUUGGUGAAAGUUUUCGGCCCAACCGGAAAAUUGCCUGUGAUACUGGCGUGCUUGAGUGCGUGAGGGGUGGGGGGAACGAGCAGUGUAGCGGUGAAAUGCGUAGAUAUCGUCUGGAACGCCAAAGGUGAAAACAGCUCGCUGGGGUUGUGCUGACGCUGAGACACGAAAGCCAGGGGAGCGAACGGG